rnacentral:lncRNA from 1 species
UCAAUCUUUCCAGGUCACAGAACAGCAACAGGAACAACUGCAGCCGGACCCAUUUUAUGGGGCUUCCGAGGUUGCUUUCACCAACACACCCCCAAGUGGUACUGUAAGAUCCUAUACACCAAUAAUCACCAUCCGCAAAUUUAUUUCUCUUAAAAAAUUCAUUCUCUGGGUCUGUAUGUUGGCGUAGGAAAAAGUUAUAUGCCUAACAUCAGUUAGAACUGAUAAGAUGUCUUUUACACAAACAUACUGACCAAACAAUACCCUGCUUAGUCUCUGUCUAAAUUCUAGUCAUGCUACUGGCAUCAUUUGUAAUGACUGUCAAUAACUUACCUAUAGACUUAAAAUUAUAACUAAGUUACUAUAUUAUACAAAGACCUAAAACCAAAUUUCCUUCAUACUUGAAUCAAAAGUAUGGUUGAGUGAGAUGAAUGAUUAUUAUUAAUGUUCGAUUUCUUGGAAUGAGACUGCAAUGAUUUUUUACUGUUUUUGUUAAAAAAAAUUAAGUAUAUAGAUAGUCUAUCUUUAAGGCAAUCAGAGUAAGGCUUAAUCUCAGUAAGCAAAGUUGGCCCAAAUAUAUCCUAAUUGUUAAAUUAAAUAAUAAUAAAAUAAGUGUCUAUGUAGUCUCUUAUCUACUAAGUAUUCUCUGAUUAUCACUAGCUAUAGCAAUUUACAUCUCAUUUCACGAUCAGGCCCCUGUGGAUUUAUGUUAUGCGAGUAUAUCACCAGACAAAACAAUCGACAAUACACGACAGAUCAUCAAUGCCAAAUCUCCAGACGCAAGAAUUAAAC